UUCGCCAGGGAACAACGAGCCCCAGCUUAAAACCCAAAGGACUUGGCGGUGCUUUAGACCCCCCUAGAGGAGCCUGUUCUAGAACCGAUACUCCCCGUUCAACCUCACCCUCUCUUGUUUUUCCCGCCUAUAUACCGCCGUCGUCAGCUUACCCUAUGAAGGUCUAACAGUAAGCAAAAUUGGCAAAGCCCAAAACGUCAGGUCGAGGUGUAGCGUACGAGAGGGGAAGAAAUGGGCUACAUUUACUGACUCAGUAAACACGGAUGAUUGCACUGAAACAAGCAUCUAAAGGAGGAUUUAGCAGUAAGAGGAAAAUAGAGCGUUCCCCUGAAAAUGGCCCUGAAGCGCGCACACACCGCCCGUCACUCUCCCCGAAACCUGCAACAAAUAAAUAAUACAACCAAGCUACAACAAAGGGGAGGCAAGUCGUAACAUGGUAAGUGUACCGGAAGGUGCACUUGGACAAACCC
rnacentral:rRNA from 1 species